rnacentral:rRNA from 1 species
GAUGAACGCUGGCGGCGUGCCUAAUACAUGCAAGUCGAGCGAACAGAUGAGGAGCUUGCUCCUCUGACGUUAGCGGCGGACGGGUGAGUAACACGUGGAUAACCUACCUAUAAGACUGGGAUAACUUCGGGAAACCGGAGCUAAUACCGGAUAAUAUAUUGAACCGCAUGGUUCAAUAGUGAAAGACGGUUUUGCUGUCACUUAUAGAUGGAUCCGCGCCGCAUUAGCUAGUUGGUAAGGUAACGGCUUACCAAGGCGACGAUGCGUAGCCGACCUGAGAGGGUGAUCGGCCACACUGGAACUGAGACACGGUCCAGACUCCUACGGGAGGCAGCAGUAGGGAAUCUUCCGCAAUGGGCGAAAGUCUGACGGAGCAACGCCGCGUGAGUGAUGAAGGUCUUCGGAUCGUAAAACUCUGUUAUUAGGGAAGAACAAAUGUGUAAGUAACUAUGCACGUCUUGACGGUACCUAAUCAGAAAGCCACGGCUAACUACGUG